rnacentral:rRNA from 1 species
AGUGAACGCUGGCGGUAGGCCUAACACAUGCAAGUCGAACGGCAGCACAGUAAGAGCUUGCUCUUACGGGUGGCGAGUGGCGGACGGGUGAGGAAUACAUCGGAAUCUACUUUUUCGUGGGGGAUAACGUAGGGAAACUUACGCUAAUACCGCAUACGACCUACGGGUGAAAGCAGGGGAUCUUCGGACCUUGCGCGAUUGAAUGAGCCGAUGUCGGAUUAGCUAGUUGGCGGGGUAAAGGCCCACCAAGGCGACGAUCCGUAGCUGGUCUGAGAGGAUGAUCACCCACACUGGAACUGAGACACGGUCCAGUCUCCUACGGGAGGCAGCAGUGGGGAAUAUUGGACAAUGGGCGCAAGCCUGAUCCAGCCAUACCGCGUGGGUGAAGAAGGCCUUCGGGUUGUAAAGCCCUUUUGUUGGGAAAGAAAAGCAGCAGGUUAAUACCCCGCUGUUCUGACGGUACCCAAAGAAUAAGCACCGGCUAACUUCGUG